CACGUAGGGCGCAAGCGUUGUCCGGAAUUAUUGGGCGUAAAGAGCUCGUAGGCGGUCCGUCGCGUCCGCUGUGAAAACCCAGGGCUCAACCCUGGGCUUGCAGUGGAUACGGGCAGACUAGAGGUAGGUAGGGGAGAAUGGAAUUCCCGGUGUAGCGGUGAAAUGCGCAGAUAUCGGGAGGAACACCGGUGGCGAAGGCGGUUCUCUGGGCCUUACCUGACGCUGAGGAGCGAAAGCGUGGGGAGCGAACAGG
rnacentral:rRNA from 2 species